CCGUACCGGAAACGUUUCUGGGACGGGUACUGCUUGGGAACGGCACGGGCACGGCUUGGGGACGGUGAGAGUAACCGAAGGUCUAAUAACUAAUGUAUUGUGUGUUUAUGAACAUAUUUACGUCAACAUUAUUUUACAUUAAGAUAAUUCAUUACUUUUUUUCUUUAAAAAGUACUAAAACAAAAAGAAACAAAAAUUUAUAACCUUCUUUCUAAUUCUUCUAGUUUGAACUUUGAACUAGAUGAAGCAUAUUUUAAUAAUCAACUAGAUUUUGAUCCGCGCUUUCAAAGCGCGAGAUUAUCUAUUUCUUAAAUAUAUUAUUUUAUAACAUGUUAUAUUUAUAACAUUUAUAUUUUUAUAAUUGUUUUUUUUUGUUAUAUGUGUAGUAGUUGUUUUAUAUAUUUAGGAUGAUAUGCAUUGAUAUAUAAAUAUAAUAAUAUAUAUAAUGACUCGCAUUUUAAAAGCACGAGAUUUGUUUCUUUUGAAAAUUAAAUAUUUGUUAAUUGUAACCUUAUGUGUUAUUUGAUAACUAAUUUUUUUUAAUAGUGUUCAUGUUUUAUAGUCAUACAAAGUAAUUCCGAAGAGUUGUUUUUUAAAAAUAGUUCAUUGUAUUAAUAUUUUUAGUUUAUUGUAAACUAUUAAAUCCCAAAUAUCCUUUUCGUAGCAUAUUUUAAAAGAUGAUUAAAAGAAAUACAAACAAAAAUUUGAAUCCAUUUUUAUGUUUUACUGUUUUAAAAUGGGUUUUUUUAUUUUUUUUUGUCAAUAAAAAUCAAGUAUUUAAAUGAGUUUCGGUCUAUAAAUUCGUGAAACCCACCCACAAGUAAUCCAACUUCUUCGACGGUCUUACCAAAAAAAGAAACGGAAAGUAAUAAUAAAAAAUCAUAUUAAGAUUUUUGGUAUGGCUAAAGUGUUAAUACAAUGUAAAUAGGAUAUAUGUCAUAAAUCAAUUUUAGUAUAGAUCUUUGAAUUAUACGUAAAAUGAUUAUAAUCUAAUUGAGUUUUUAAUAAAGUCGACUGCCGAAAUGAGCUUGUAAAUUGGUUUUUAAAUACUUGUUUCUGACUAGUACAAUUAAUGUGGCCGAAAACUAUUUAAAAUUUUCAAAUAGGUGAUAGCAAUUUUUGUAAUUAAUUAAAAAAAUCAGGGGCAUAAUCCUAAGAAGGAUUCUGUUUUAAUAGUAUAGAUGACUAAAGAAAUCAUUUCUUACUAUUGUUAUUACUUAAAAUAGUAUAUUACAUUGUUUUCUUUUAACAUUAUAGAGUAAUUUAUUUUAGUUUCAAUUUAUGAGUAUAUGUAUAUAUAUUUUUAUAUUAAUAUAUAUGCCGUACCCGUAUCUUUAAAUUUUUAGUUUUGUUGUUUCCCGUCCCCGUUUCCCCACCCGUAUCUGUCCCCGUAUCCGUCCCGGUGCAACAUAGGCCGUGACACCAAAGCGGAGGAAGGAACCACGGAUCUACACCAUCCCGAGCUGGAGGAGACGCCGGAGAGCUUCACAAGCCCAGAGCCAGAGACAUAUCGAAGAGAGAAGGUGAAAGGAGAGACAAUAGCAAAUAGAAAAAGAGGAAGGGUAAGGAGGAGCCUCUCCGGCGAGUAAGACGAAACGGAGGUUUGCUGGGGGCUCAGGAGAAGAAGAUUGGAGGAGAGAGAAAAAGUUUUUUCACCUCCAAAAGAAAUAUGUAUCUUUGCAUUAGGUUACCGGUCGAUCUCCUUGAAACUGCUACGAUAAGAUCAAUAGUUGUAAUUUUUCUCUUUUUUGCCUUAUAACGAUGGAUGACUAUUAUCAUGACAGAAAAGUCUAUCAUCAAGGUACAAUCUUCUAACACAGCUUGCGCUUUUGUAUGUUCAUGGUUUUUACCUUGAGAUACAUAUAUAUACAUAUUCAGUAUAAGAUGUUUAUCUUCUCUAAUUUCAGUAUAUACUCAUUGGCAUGGAUGGAUCUGAAAUUUUGAAGGAUUGGAAACAUUUUUUUAAAGGAUGGAUGGUUUUAAACUCACAUCUGCCUCAGAUAAGUCUCUCAAAUGCUUUGUCAAAACAAUCAAUCUGGAUCGCCGUCCGCUCUAUAGAUUCACUCUCUUCACAUUUUUUGUUUCCUGUCGUUUUAACUACAUUUCUAGGCUUCAAAGUGGUCCAGCAGACCUCAUCACUAAGGCAUGUCUGAGCAAUGGGUUCAAUAUAUAGGGCUUAACUUUGGUUCUCUUUUAAUUAUUAAGCAAAUCAGUUGAACAAAAAAAACAUUUUUAAAGGUUUUGAUAAAAACAAAAAUAAAAAUUUGGGGUCUACACCCAUCUAAAAAAUUUCCAAUAAUUUUAGGGGUCAAGGUUAAUAUUUAACUCGUGUAUGACUAGAUUCGACCCUGCUCAUUUGGUGAUAACUUAUAAUAAUAAUAUCGUCAGUUUAUUAACAUUAAAAAGAAACAUCAACUUAUUGGAAGUGCCAUUGUUUAUUAUAUCUUCAGUGUAUUAACUAUUCACAUUAGAAACAUUGGCAAAAAAAACAUUAAAAGCUCAAAGGGGGUUGAUAUAUUACAAAGUGUGAUAGUACUCCCAAGAGUUUAUUAUCUAUGGAGUUCAUACGGACAUCGAUCUUUUUUAAUUGUCUAUCUCGUUUGUUGUUUUCUCCUUUACUCAGCGAUUUGAAAACACUGCUGCGAGUACUGCGGAACACUGCUGCGAGUACUGUUGAUAAAUUUGCGCAGAUGAAUUCUCCUACUACGGUGGUUUUGUUUAGACUCCUUUAUCUAUGAAAUUUGACGUUCAAAAAGGUUCUCUACCCGGUCCUACACUAUAGUCCAUUAGACCACCCGCAACGCGGGGUUUAAGUAGAUUCUUACUCGGGAUUGAUUAAAAUAUUAAUAUAAAAAAAUCAUAAGUUAAGAAAGAGUCCUUAACUAAGGAGAUUAAGGAUUUGGUCCUUGAUGAGUUGGCAAAGCCCGAUUGGUGAGGGUCAGGGUCGUGUUUUGUAAGGAGAGAAAAAAAAAGAAGUCGCGACAAUUACAGAAAAAAAAAUUCCUCCGGCGAAACGAAAGGUGAUUCGGCGAUCUUCGGUGUUGAGGAAUUGAACACAUAAUGAAAGGAAUCAGAGGCAAAGAUGAUCUUACGGCUGCGUAAAGUUUCAUUCUUUCUUCACUCAACUUUUUGAUCCCUGUUUAUAUUUCCUUGUCUGAGAAUCUUCAAGAUUUGUUCUUUGGGUGAUAUUGAUUUGAUGAAAACCUGUUACAGACGUUGUUUCUGAUUGGGUUUUGACAAACUUUGCAGCAUGGUCUCAGUCUCAGCCUCAGGUGGUGGGUUGGCGUACGCUUUUGUGAGCAAAGGCUUGAAAGUAAAGCCUGCACACGCACUCUCCUGGGCUGUUUGCUACGCUGUUGCGUCAGGAACAAUGUAUAAGGUGAAGGAAACAAUCAGAGCAAGAAGUAAACAUUCCACCAGCACCAGGGGCAAGGCUUUUGAUACUUGAUCAUAUCAAGAGGUUUGUUUACAAGCUUCUCUACUAGUACUCUCUCACAAGGAUCAAAUAUAUGAACUGAAUCUAACCAUUCUCUGUUGUUUUGAUCAAAUAUACCAACCCUCCCUUUUAUCUUAUAUGGUGGUUGUAAUAACUUAGAAUCUUGGAGAUAUAGUUUCAAGAGACGUAACCUUGCUAGUUCAUUCGCUGAAACUUUAUGUUUGCUUUUAAGUAAAACCAACAACGUAACAGAAACUAUUUUUUACAAUUUUUUUACUUUUAAAAUUUUUUAAAUUACAAAUUUAAUUAUUUUUAAUGGUUUACAAAUUUAUUAAAUGUUUUACAAAUUUAAUUAUAUUUUAUUCUUAAGAAUUCUAUAGUGGAUAACACCAUUGGACUAAAAAAUAUGAUUAGAAUCCUUAACUAUUCAAACAAAAAAAAUUAAAAAUAUAUAUAUAUUAUUCUAUUGUUAAGGAUUCCAACUCAUCAUUGGAGUUGCUCUUAGGAUACAGGUUGAAAAGGCUUGGAAACAAAAAAAACAAAAGUAGCAACUUCUGUAGAAAGCGACGAAAUUGAGAAGAUAAUCUUCUUUUAAGAAAGACAUGCAUCGUACAAUGAUUAGAAUAAUUAAACUCUUAAAAACUGCAAAAGAAAAUUACGGAUUAAGGAAGAAAA